rnacentral:rRNA from 1 species
CGUAGGUGGCAAGCGUUGUCCGGAAUUAUUGGGCGUAAAGCGCGCGCAGGCGGUCUUUUAAGUCUGAUGUGAAAGCCCACGGCUCAACCGUGGAGGGUCAUUGGAAACUAGGAAGACUUGAGUGCAGAAGAGGAGAGUGGAAUUCCACGUGUAGCGGUGAAAUAGCGUGGAGAUGUGGAGGAACACCAGUGGCGAAGGCGACUCUCUGGUCUGUAACUGACGCUGAGGCGCGAAAGCGUGGGGAGCAAACAGGAUU